CUCUCCUCCAGUCACAGGGAGACGCACACUACGUGCGUGAGUGCCCGCGUCAGUGGGGCCGGCCGGUCGUCUUAAAAAGGUUCGCACCUCUGUGCUGCAUGCAUGAAUACCAGCUGCCCUUUCUAUGAACCUGAGCUCCAACUUCGCAGUUUUUCAAGACUCGUUGACGAACGCCGCUGAGGAGACAACAUGGAAAAGUCAAACAGUUUGAAGCUUAAGAGCGACAAAGGGAAAUUGGUGACAGUCAAGAAUGUCAAUGGUCAAAUGGGACUGUGUGUUGAAGACGUUCAAAGUACUGGAGAAGAACACAAGGUAUACAUAUGGAGCCGAAGAAACAAAAAGCAGGUGGCUUUCGGCUGGAAGUGUGGAACUGGUGAUUACUACUUCCCAAAGGUGGUUAAGGACACCUCUGCUGAAAACAAGAUGAAGGACAAGCUGGAGUUGGUGAGGAGUGAUGUUCCAGAUGCUUUACCUGAAAGUUACUGGUUUGAGAUGGUAAACAACAGACGCGGUGCAUAUUACGGCCUGAAAUCUGUUGUCGCAUCCGCGGGAUACCUCGUCCUUUCAGACGCGAAACAGCACCUCUCCAUCAGUAAUAUGGCUGAUGAUCCUAAAUGUGUUUAUGUCAAGCAUGAAAGCAUAGAUUAAAAGGAUUCAACUCGUCAAUUUCCCUGGAUGAACUACUUCCUCUGCGCUCUGCCUGAUCUGCAGCUCUGGAACAAAAACACAGUGUACUUAUUUAGAUAAUUUGUUAUUCUUGUUUUUUUAAGCAUCUUCUUGUGUUCAAGUGUUCUUCUGAAAAUAUAAGGCUGUACUCUUGCAAUUAAUCACUGCACUCCAUAAAGUUGUAAAAUACAAUUGAGGCAUUGGAGGCUUAGUUAUCCCAAUUCUUAAUCCCUAAUAUGUGCCAAGCUCGAAAAAUAAUGGGUGCCAAACUUCCUGUGAUGUGAUAUUGUUGUUUUGUUAAGCGUUCCCUGAUGGUAAAUUCUGUUUAUUUAUUUUUUAAAUCUAUUUUGAUCCCCUGUAGCCAAUGUAUUGCAGCAGUGGGUACUCUUACUGGGGUCUCCAUACAUUUAGAAACAAUACUUCAAUGACAACAGAUAAAUUCUGUUAAACCUGUUGUUCAGCGACGCUCCAGACUUUCUGUCUGAGUUUGUUUGAACCCAACAAUAGCACUAAACGUACUUUCUUAGACUCCUCCUUAGUCUUAGUAGACAUAAUACAACCAUUUUUAAAGGCUGAGUUGUCCUCCACAUGACUCGUAACUGAUCUUUAUGUAUAAAAUUGGGAGUCUCCCUUUAAUGUGAAACUGUUCCUCAAAUUCUUCUGAUGUGUAGUGGGGAAGGGGCAUUUUCUUACUCUUCUAUUUUUUAUUUAUGACUAUUGUAUAUCUGUGAAUCAGGUUGGUGUUUUUUUAUAUACCAAAUGUUUAUUUUGUCCAGAAAUUAUUCUUUGUCAACUAGAGCUUCACACCAGUCUCUACUAAUGCAUUAGAAUUUGAUCAAAACCUACCAGCCUGAUUCAGACCUUGACGUCAGUCCUUUUUAUGCACAUUGCUCAUGUCAAAAAUGUGGUUGCGCAGUUAAAGCAAGUCCAUACUUAACCGGCAUUUAAACAACACCUGAAACUGAAAAAUCCACUCAAACUGAAGAGAAUUAUGUUUCCCAUAAUGUACCCUCUUUGAAGUUUUAUCCAUGCCAUUGGUUGUUGCAUACUUUUUCAUGUCUUGUCUUGCUGGUGUUGGAAAGGAAAAGCUUUAUAUAUACAGUACAGUAUAGU